CCUGAGAAACCCAAAAGAUCGAAUGGGGAGAUUCAUCGUCAGCUCAUUUUGUAUAUGCAUGAGUUGUGAUGCGAGUUACUACUUGUAGUAUUGCUUGCACAUUCUUAUACAUUUAGUUGCAAGAUGUUGCCGGCGUGCACUUCUCCCCUAGUAGAACGUCGCGACCCGUUGAGUGUUGAUCUACGACCCAAGAUGAAGCCUUUGAUGUAUUUUGUCAAAGAAAUAUAUUGAAGACACUUGGUGUUUUCUGAUCAGCUGCUCGGCGGUAUUCAUAUGGUAUUAAGCCGCAUAUUUAAAUAUGCGUUCAUUCCCGUCACAAGCGCGGCCAAUUUCUGAUAGUAUGGACCUAGUGCCAUCGUUAGUAUUGGUCAGCUGUUGGUUGUACGGUGUUCUGGAACUGGCUUAAAUUAAUUACCGGUCAGCGAUGCUUUUGCUUUGGGUACUUUCAGGACCCGUCUUGAAACACGGACCAAGGAGUCUAACAUGUACGCAAGUCAUUGGGAUUUUUAAAAAAUUAAACCUAAAGGCGUAAUGAAAGUAAAGGUUGACCUUGCGUUAACUAAGGGAAGAUGGGUUGUAUUAAGAUGCAGCUCCGCAUUCCCGGGGCAUCUCAUUCUUAUUGCAAGAAGAGGUGCACCUAGAGCGUACACGUU
rnacentral:rRNA from 1 species